UCUUAUCAUACACUGGAGAUCCUACAAAAAGGAAUACCGACCUUCUUGGCGAGCUUCUUGAGGAGCUCCCGCUCCUUUUUCUGCGUCAACAAGCACCAAAUGAAGAAGAAACGAACCCAGAAGUACAUGUUUUCCAGGGAGUGCUCGCGCUCCGACAUAUGAUCCUUGGUCAUGUCGAGAGCAUACGGCGAUGGAAGGUAGGCCAUCUUCCUCGCGAGUAGCAAACGACACCACAGCGGCGGCAGGGUGGUAGCAGCACAACGCAUCGCCAUCGCCAUUGGAAAAGAGCGGCGGCACAAGUAGCUUCGCUGUGGAAGAAGACGACUGCGCACCACGAGUCACGCCUGGAUUAGCAUAAAGCAGAACAAAAUCAGUAGUAAUGACUGUCAAAUCCCGCCAGGUUGUGUAAGAUUUGCAGCUGCCAUUUUACUGGAAUGGUUAUCUGAUUAGCUAGCUUGUUUACAAGACUCCUCUUCAAAUUUAGACUGGAAACUUUUUAAUUGUU